UGAGUUUGAAAUCCUUGUUUUUCAUAUGAUUCCGACUUUUGCUAAACUUUUCUAAUGUCUUUUAAACUGGAUCUUUUGUGUGCUACUAUAUGCUACUUCUCUUCUACAUUUCUAACCUAAGUCACAACCAUGCUCCUGUAGUCUAUUAUCUACUGAUUUUUACAAUGACACAACAUCUUCUUUCAGCUUAACAUGUUUGUGCUCUUUAUAUGUGAUGAACUUCCCUCUAAAGUGUAUUUCAAAAUUUUGAUUAGCUUAGACUUCCUUCUGAAUGGGUCUGAUUUAUUUCUUUCCUUGUUUGUUGAUUUCCUUGUGACUCGACUUAAGUUAAAACCUUUCUCAGCUCUUCUGACUUGGUUCAUUCAUGAAUUAGUAAUUAUAAAUUCUUUCACUCUGGAUUUACUGGAUACUAAUUUAUUUUCUUACCUUAUUUAUACAAUCAUGUAUUUCAAAAUUCUAUCCUUAAAUAACCUUUUAUGUAUUUUCCCCUAAUUGCAUGCUUUGCACAAGAUGUUUAUUUGACUUCUUCCCUUAAAUAGUUUUCCCGUUUGAAUCUAAAUCCUUAAUUAAGGGAAGUAUUGUGUGAUUGAUUCUUAAUUGAUAAUCACCUCCUUAUUUCUGCCUGAUUUUCACACUACAAAUGCAUGACUCUUUCACAAACAAAAUUUAUAAUUCACAGUCUUUCUGAACUCACACUUACACACAAUUGUAUUCUCUCUUCUUGUCUGCAUUGUGUCAUGUUUACAAGAUCUACUACUUUUAUCUAUUUGUUUCUUUGAAAUUGGUAUGUCCUGAUUUAAUCUUCAUCACCACAAAAAUGUGAUUAUUUAUGUCCUUUGUAUCUAUGUCUAUUUACUGUUUUUGCAUAAUUCAACACUUACUUUAGUAUGUUGACCUCUUUCUGGUUGUUUUGGUAUGAAUUCCAAACCCCAACCCCUAUAUGUUUGAGUUAUGGUUUUGACAUGUCAAUAUGUAAAUUGUUGCCCAUGAAUCAGAACUGGUCCCUUGGGAUCCUAACCUCUUAUAGUGUUUUCCAAACAUGCUUAUGGGGG
rnacentral:lncRNA from 1 species